rnacentral:misc_RNA from 1 species
UUUCCGUAGGUGAACCUGCGGAAGGAUCAUUAUUGUAUAACCGAGGUGCGAUGGCUGUCGCUGACCCGAAAGGUCGUGCACGCCCGAGUGCCCUCACACACAUCCAUCUCACCCCUAUGUGCACCACCGCGUGGGUCCCCCUUUGGCUUGUUCGGAGGGGGGCUUACGUUUUCACACAAACUUUGUAUGCAGUGUAGAAUGUAUUUUUUGUUUUUGCGAUCACGCAAUCAAUACAACUUUCAACAACGGAUCUCUUGGCUCUC